rnacentral:rRNA from 1 species
CGAUGCGAUCAUACCAGCACUAAAGCACCGGAUCCCACCAGAACUCCGAAGUUAAGCGUGCUUGGGCGAGAGUAGUACUAGGAUGGGUGACCUCCUAGGAAGUCCUUGUGUUGCAUUCC